CUUUCAAACCAGAUAACUUCGAUAACUUUCUACUCUAUCAAAAUUCAGUAACAUGAUCGUUUACGUUAAGUAAACAAUUAACGUAUUCCUAUGAAACUGUGACUCAAUUUCUUCAUUUAUCGAAAUCUUAGUUUUAACGAUAUUCACGUAGUUGCUGUAGGUGAAUGUAAACGCGUCUACCAAGGAUAGUGUAUACACAGUACAAUUUGGUAUUGCUCAGAUGGUUGAAGCAGAUGUCAGUAAAUCUUUGUGUCUAGCUUUCUUUCAAAGCUCAUUUAACUAAUAUCUGUCAAAUCGUUCACAUCUUCACUGCUCAAAUAUUUUUUUUUUACUUUUAGUUAUCCUAAAUUU